rnacentral:rRNA from 1 species
GCGAGUCUGCCUUGAAGAUCGGAGUGCUUGCACUCUGUGAAACAAGAUACAGGCUAGCGGCGGACGGGUGAGUAACACGUGGGUAACCUGCCCAAGAGAUCGGGAUAGCACCUGGAAACAGAUGCUAAUACCGGAUAAUAACAGAUGAUGCCUAUCAACUGUUUAAAAGAUGGUUCUGCUAUCACUCUUGGAUGGACCUGCGGUGCAUUAGCUAGUUGGUAGGGUAACGGCCUACCAAGGCGAUGAUGCAUAGCCGAGUUGAGAGACUGAUCGGCCACAUUGGGACUGAGACACGGCCCAAACUCCUACGGGAGGCAGCAGUAGGGAAUCUUCCACAAUGGACGCAAGUCUGAUGGAGCAACGCCGCGUGAGUGGAGAAGGGUUUCGGCUCGUAAAGCUCUGUUGUUGGUGAAGAAGGACAGGGGUAGUAACUGACCUUUGUUUGACGGUAAUCAAUUAGAAAGUCACGGCUAACUACGUGCCAGCAGCCGCGGUAAUACGUAGGUGGCAAGCGUUGUCCGGAUUUAUUGGGCGUAAAGCGAGUGCAGGCGGUUCGAUAAGUCUGAUGUGAAAGCCUUCGGCUCAACCGGAGAAUUGCAUCAGAAACUGUCGAGCUUGAGUACAGAANNNNAGAGUGGAACUCCAUGUGUAGCGGUG